rnacentral:misc_RNA from 1 species
GAUGAUGAACGCAGCGAAAUGCGAUAAGUAAUGUGAAUUGCAGAAUUCAGUGAAUCAUCGAAUCUUUGAACGCACAUUGCGCCCGCCAGUAUUCUGGCGGGCAUGCCUGUUCGAGCGUCAUUACAACCCUCAGGCCCCCGGGCCUGGCGUUGGGGAUCGGCAGAAGCCCCCUGUGGGCACACGCCGUCCCUCAAAUACAGUGGCGGUCCCGCCGCAGCUUCCAUUGCGUAGUAGCUAACACCUCGCAACUGGAGAGCGGCGCGGCCAUGCCGUAAAACACCCAACUUCUGAAUGUUGACCUCGAAUCAGGUAGGAAUACCCGCUGAACUUAAGCAUAUCAAUAAGCGGAGGA